rnacentral:rRNA from 1 species
UACACUCCUGCGGGAGGCAGCAGUGGGGAAUUUUGGACAAUGGGCGAAAGCCUGAUCCAGCAAUGCCGCGUGAGUGAAGAAGGCCUUCGGGUUGUAAAGCUCUUUUGUCAGGGAAGAAACGGUGAAAGCUAAUAUCUUUUGCUAAUGACGGUACCUGGAGAAUAAGCACCGGCUAAAUACGUGCCAGCAGACGCGGUAAUAUGUAGGGUGCAAGCGUUAAUAGGAAUUACUGGGCGUAAAGCGUGCGCAGGCGGUUUUGUAAGUCUGAUGUGAAAUCCCCGGGCUCAACCUGGGAAUUGCAUUGGAGACUGCAAGGCUAGAAUCUGGCAGAGGGGGGUAGAAUUCCACGUGUAGCAGUGAAAUGCGUAGAUAUGUGGAGGAACACCGAUGGCGAAGGCAGCCCCCUGGGUCAAGAUUGACGCUCAUGCACGAAAGCGUGGGGAGCAAACAGGAUUAGAUACCCCUGUAGUCCCAUGA